UACGGGGGGGGCAAGCGUUGUUCGGAAUUACUGGGCGUAAAGGGCUCGUAGGUGGCCAACUAAGUCAGACGUGAAAUCCCUCAGCUUAACUGGGGAACUGCGUCCGAUACUGGAUGGCUUGAGUUUGGGAGAGGGAUGCGGAAUUCCAGGUGUAGCGGUGAAAUGCGUAGAUAUCUGGAGGAACACCGGUGGCGAAGGCGGCAUCCUGGACCAAUACUGACACUGAGGAGCGAAAGCCAGGGGAGCAAACGGG
rnacentral:rRNA from 1 species